GUCAUCGCAGCGGUAGGUGACGACGGGGCCGUGGCCGCCGCCGGGACGAAUUCCGGCACCGACCUUGACGCAGUUCUUGCACUCCGGGUGGCAUCCGUCCACCGAGACGUCAUUGCACUGGCAGUCCGGCGGCAGCUUCCUGUUGCAAAAACCGCAGUUGUCGCAGCACGGCCACGACGAGCCUGGUUUGCAUGCGCCCGGUACGGUGUGGCCGUACAUGUUUAGUAAAAAAAGUCUAUGUGCAUAUGCAUACAUCCUUUAAUAAGUGAUAAGUGAUAUAUAUAUAUAUAUAUAUAUAUAUAUAUAUAUAUAUAUAUAUAUAUAUAUCCUAGUGAAAAUUAAAAACGAAGAAUUUAGGAUUGUGGCUACCACUAGUAGAAAAGGGUACAACACCGACGUCCUCUUUUUAUACCACAGGCGGUUAUAGUUAUCACGCGCCUGUGUUAUAAAAAGGAGGCGGUUUUCGUAACUGAUGGAAAUGAAACUAAACGGUGCAUGAAAGGAUUCUGGCUACCUUUGCCGAGCGGCAGAGCUGCGAGGACGCCGAGAAGAGCCAGAGUGACGACGAGUAUCAGCUGAGGCCUCAUCUUUAAUUUGUUUCUCCUCGCAAGAACAGGCCUGAAUUAAUCAAUGCCAAGUUUGUUGCUUGGAUUUCUUUGCUACGUGUACGUGCGUAUAUACGGCUAUAUAUGUGCAUGUAUGGUGGAGGCUGGACUGGAACUGGAGGUCUUCUUAUAGCAGUGGCGGAGGGCGGCUUCCAGCGUAGAAGCCCGGCCAUGCGAUGCGAUGCGACACGGUCUCAAGCGCGCGCACGUUCCAUGAAACAACUCUGCAUGCAUGCAUGUCGUAUUUUCCUCAUUCCAUCAUGCGUUGCAUGGAAAAAAAAAACAACGUGAUGCACGCGUGCGCAUCCCUACUAGAUAUGAUAUGAUGAUGGACGCCACAUGCAUGCAUGGAUCUGGGCGGUCGUGGGAUAUAUAAGCAAGUCGCCGGUACGGGCGACGGUGACAUAUAUGAUGGGAGGAGGAUUGCGAUGGGAACGAUCGAGUGGCCCCGGGUCAAGAUGGAUAAGCGUCUAGUGGUGCUAUACAGAAACGUGCACGUUAUUGUCUGCAUGCUCUUCUACCUUCUGCUUGUAGCGUGAGCCUUGUUUAGUUCCCAAAAUAUUUUACAAAAUUUUUCACAUUUUCCGUCACAUCGAAUCUUACGGCACAUACAUGAAGCACUCAGUGGCGGAUCCAGGAUGGAGACAAAAGAAGGGGUUAAAUAGUGAACAUAUAAGGUUAAAAUUAGAUAUUAAUAAGAAUUUAAGGGUAAUUAACACUAAUUUAAUGGACAAAUCAGACUCGUAGGAUCCGCCCCUGGAAGCACUAAAUAUAGAUACAAGAAAUAACUAAUUACAUAAUUUACCUGUAAUUUGCGAGACGAAUCUUUUGAGCCUAGUUAGUCUAUAAUUGGACAAUAUUUAUCAAAUAAAAAUAAAAGUGCUACUAUUCCUAUUUUACAAAAAAAUUUGGAAGUAAACAAGGCCUUAGUUUAGUUCAAAAGUUUGUAAAAUUUUUCAGAUUUCCUGUCACAUCGAAUCUUGCGUAACAUGCAUAGAGCAUUAAAUAUAGAUAAGUAAUUUAGGUUAUCCAUGAUUGGACAACGUUUAUAAAAUACAAACGAAAAUACUAUUAUGUCCAUUUUGUAAAAAAAAAAUGGAACCAAACAAGGCCGAUGUUGGUUGACCGAGUACAGGGUGCAUCACUGCACAUGUGUUUGGGGAUCCUUACCGGGCCUAUUUGAUAAAUAUUAUUUAAUUAUAGACUAAUUAUGUUCAAAAAAUUUAUUUUGUAAAUUACAGGUAAAUUUUAUUUCUUUUAUCUAUAUUUAAUACCCAUGUGAUACAAGAUUUGAUGUGAUGAAAAAUCUAAAAAAAAUUAUAAAAUAUUUUGGGAACUAAACAAGGCCUUGAUGUCUUUCUCUAUUUGCCUAGCCAUUUCAGGUGGGAACGAAAGCCCAGCACGGUCAGCAUGCAUGUGCUCAGUCAGGCCUCGCCCUGCCACGAUUCUCAAAAAAAAAAAAAAACCCUAGAACGAAGGCGACAUUCUGUCCUGUUUUAGAGCUGAUUGUUGACCGUGGAGCCAUGGAGCUGCCGUCUCAACAGUACUAUACGAGUUAGCAGCUAUUUUAUAUAUAACCAUGUUAUUGUCACUUCAUUAUCUCACAUGUAAAUGAUUUUUUAUUCUAUAUUUUUUCUUCUUCUUCUUCUCUUAUUCUUUAUGUGCAGGCCACAAACUAUCUUGUUUUUUCUGAACGAGAUAAGCGUAGAGAUAAGAGAUAGUCUCUUCUCUUUUCCAUUUUCUCUCUUUUUGACAUCACAAAAGUGCUCACAUGAAUUCUUAUGAGCUAAUUAAGGUGGCACUGUUAUUGGUACACCCGGAGUAGCACGAGUGGAGAGGGCAGCAAAGUGUAGCCUUUAGCUCACAUAGAAGAGCAGACCUGGUUGGGCGAUCCGAUUGGAUUGGAUCCCUCUCUACGUGUUCUAUAGGUUUAGGAACUCUUCCCAAAAGGCCGAGUUUCUGUCCGAAUCGAAAUUCGUGCACAUUUUCUUUCUUCUUUUCUUUUCCCUAACCGAUCUACACAACUAGAUGUAAGCAACCUAGCUUUGAUACUAUUGUUAGAACUUAGAAUAGUCUAGAGUGUAGAUCUAGCAGGUACUUUACUUCUAUUCGGGAUAAACAAUUUGGAAUUUCAUAGAUCCGAGGAGGAAGAGAGGAUGGGGCUGAUGGCACUGUAGCAGUGAACCUAGUGUCUUGUGCCCUAGCCCCAUCCUCUCUUUUAUACACUGCGCGACGGGGCCCACCAGCCAGUAGAAGGCUGAACGUCUCCGGUCAGGACAGGUCAAGGGUCCGGUCCAGUAUUUGGACUUGAGCCAGUGGAGAUCGAUCUAACAUGACAGUGUUCGGCAAACUAGAUGUAAUGCAUGCAUCACAUUUAGAGCAAAAGCGGGCGAUGGAUUAGACAUCAUUGGUAUCAUCGUUAUGUCUUUUUGAACUCACAUAUGCUUCGCUUAAAAACAUAAGAGCAUAUGUUAAUAACGAAAUAUGAUCGGUUUACCUAAACGCAAACAGAUGUAACAAAGAUAUUGUCAUGACUCGACACCAUAACACAGUGCUUUGAGCAUAGCGUGCAUCAUGCAUGGCUCUUUAUUCCAGAAACAGUACUAAUACACUGACGACAACGUACAAGAGCAUAAGCAAGCAUCGAGUAGAGCAGCGAUAUUUAUUUUAUUUCUUACAUUAAUUUAUUUUAUUUCUUCUUCUCUCAGACGAAGCUCGAGAGAAGCAAAACUCGACUUGUCGCAUGCAUGCAUGCAAUCAGAAGCCCCUACCCAGGAAUGCCGCCUCUGGCGCUGGCGCCGGCGCCGGCGUGCAGCGCUGCUCGCAGAAGUUUGUGAGAACAUCAUCGCAGCGGUAGGUGACGACGGGGCCAGAGCCGACCAUGACGCAGUUCUUGCACUCCGGGUGGCACCCGUCCACCGAGACGUCAUCGCACUGGCAGUCCGGCGGCAGCUGCCUGUCACAAAAACCGCAGUUGUCGCAGCACGGCCACGACGAGCCUGGUUUCCACCCGGUGUGGCCGUACAUGUUUAGUAAAAAAUGUCAAGUGUGCAUGCAUACAUCCUUUAACAAGUGAUAUAUAUAUAUA
rnacentral:lncRNA from 1 species